rnacentral:rRNA from 1 species
AUACAGAGGGUGCAAGCGUUGCUCGGAUUUAUUGGGCGUAAAGCGUGCGUAGACGGUAUGAAAGGUCGGGUGUGAAAUCCCUGGGCUCAACCCAGGAGCUGCAUUCGAAACCAUCACACUUGAGUUCGGGAGAGGGAAGCGGAAUUCCUGGUGUAGAGGUGAAAUUCGUAGAUAUCAGGAGGAACACCGGUGGCGAAGGCGGCUUCCUGGCCCGAUACUGACGUUCAGGCACGAAAGCGUGGGUAGCAAACAGGAUUAGAUACCCUGGUAGUCCACGCUGUAAACGAUGAGUGCUAGAUGUUGGAGGUAUUCACUCCUUCGGUAUCGAAGCUAACGCGCUAAGCACUCCGCCUGGGGAGUACGGCCGCAAGGUUGAA